rnacentral:rRNA from 1 species
UACGAAGGGGGCUAGCGUUGCUCGGAAUCACUGGGCGUAAAGGGUGCGUAGGCGGGUUUUUAAGUCAGGGGUGAAAUCCUGGAGCUCAACUCCAGAACUGCCUUUGAUACUGAAGAUCUUGAGUCCGGGAGAGGUGAGUGGAACUGCGAGUGUAGAGGUGAAAUUCGUAGAUAUUCGGAAGAACACCAGUGGCGAAGGCGGCUCACUGGUCCGGUACUGACGCUGAUGUGCGAAGGCGUGGGGAGCAAACAGG